CCAUGAGUAAAGUGGCGACCGGGGUGAGUAACACGUGACUAACCUACCUUCGAGUGGGGGAUAACCUCGGGAAACCGAGGCUAAUACCGCAUAACAUCGCAAGAUCAAAGCAGCAAUGCGCUGGAAGAGGGGGUCGCGGCUGAUUAGCCAGUUGGCGGGGUAACGGCCCACCAAAGCGAAGAUCGGUAGCCGGCCUGAGAGGGCGCACGGCCACACUGGAACUGAAACACGGUCCAG
rnacentral:rRNA from 1 species